rnacentral:RNase_P_RNA from 1 species
AUAGCAAAUCGGCUUGUCGCUGGUCACUCUUCUUAGAAAGAGUGAAAAGAGGAAAGUCCGGGCAACGUAGAGCACCAUACUUCCUAACGGGAAGUCUUUUGUCUUUGAGAAAUUGAGGACAGGAGGAGUAGUGUAACAGAGAAUAACCGCCCUGUUUGUACAGGGUAAGGGUGAAAAGGUGAGGUAAGAGCUCACCGGAAAGGGUAGUGAUACUCUUUGCCGUACAUCUUAUGGGUUGUAAGAUCAAGUAUACCGAUGUUUAUGAGGGUUGCUCGUCCUCUAUCGGGGGGUAGAUCGCUUGAGCUAUGCGGUGACGUAUAGUUUAGAUUAAUGACAAGCGCCGCUCAUGCGGUACAGAACCCGGCUUAUAGAUUUGCUGUACUU